GCGUGUGUGUGUGUGUGUGUGUGUGUGUGUGUGUGUGUGUGUGUGUGUGAUUUGAACAUGAUUUGGUGUUGUUGACACCGGGUGUUUUGGGGAAUCUGUUCAGGAUGCACCAUGUUAAACCCUGCAGCUCUUUUGGCUAAAGUAUCUAAAGGAAAGCUUAGUCACAUUUCACCAAUCUUUUUCAACUCUACCACAACCAGGCUCGGGAAGUAUUGGAUUCCAUAACCUGGAAACAGAAAAGGGUAACUGUAUUCCCUUACAGUAACAUAAAAAAGACAAUCAGAAAAUUGGGGAGUACUUAGGGUUACGUAACAGGAAGCAGAGUGGCGCGUACAGGAUGUUGAUCACCCCGAUAAACACCAUGAGACAGGGGAAACCCACCGCCUGCACAAGAGCGCCCCCUGUGGACGGUCCUGGAACAACAGCAGACACAGACUUUUAAAUGAUCAUUAUCUUUGUCUAAUUCAGUGUGUGUGUGUUACCGAUAGCGAACCCCAGACACAGCGCCACGUCUGCGAUGGCAUAGACGCUGCCGUAGACAGAGGCAUGACGGAUGUCAACCAGGUAUCCCAUGAUGGCCAUCAUGGAGGUAUCCACCAUACCUGAAGGAGGAAAACCAUUCAGCUCAACAACGAACAAUCAUACAAGAGA